UUCCGGUUGAUCCUGCCGGACCUGACUGCUAUCGGAUUGAUACUAAGCCAUGCGAGUCUUUGUAGUAAUACAAGGCAUACGGCUCAGUAACGCGUAGUCAACCUACCCUAUGGACAAGAAUAAUCUCGGGAAACUGAGCAUAAUUCUUGAUAGAUCAUAAUGCCUGGAAUGGUUUAUGGUUAAAAUGAUUCGUCGCCAUAGGAUGGGACUGCGGCCUAUCAGCUUGUUGGUGAGGUAAUGGCCCACCAAGGCGAUUACAGGUACGGGCUCUGAGAGGAGAAGCCCGGAGAUGGGUACUGAGACACGGACCCAGGCCCUAUGGGGCGCAGCAGGCGAGAAAACUUUGCAAUGUGCGAAAGCACGACAAGGUUAGUCCGAGUGAUUUCUGCUAAAGAGAUCUUUUGCUAGUUAUAAAACCACUAGUGAAUAAGGGGUGGGCAAGUUCUGGUGUCAGCCGCCGCGGUAAAACCAGCACCUCAAGUGGUCAGGAUGAUUAUUGGGCCUAAAGCAUCCGUAGCCGGCUCUGUAAGUUUUCGGUUAAAUCUAUACGCUCAACGUAUGGGCUGCCGAAAAUACUGCAGAGAUAGGGAGUGGGAGAGGUAGACGGUACUCGGUAGGAAGGGGUAAAAUCCUUUGAUCUAUCGAUGACCACCUGUGGCGAAGGCGGUCUACCAGAACACGUUCGACGGUGAGGGAUGAAAGCUGGGGGAGCAAACCGGAUUAGAUACCCGGGUAGUCCCAGCUGUAAACGAUGCAGACUCGAUGAUGCAUUGGCAUAUAGCCAGUGCAGUGUCGCAGGGAAGCCGUUAAGUCUGCCGCCUGGGAAGUACGUACGCAAGUAUGAAACUUAAAGGAAUUGGCGGGGGAGCACCACAAGGGGUGAAGCCUGCGGUUCAAUUGGAUUCAACGCCGG
rnacentral:rRNA from 1 species